rnacentral:lncRNA from 1 species
CCAGUUUCCAUCAACAAAUUAUUGUUUAUCAUACAAAUUCUCUAAUUUAUCAGUCAUUUAUCAAAAUCAUAUUUAGAGUCCACAGAUACCAAAUAUUCUCAAAUUCACAAAUCUUCAAAUUUUCUUGAAUCAUAAACCUAAAAUUCAGCAACAAAAUCCCCAAUGUUUUGAAAUUCUUGAAUUCACAAAAUCCCAAAUAUUAAAAAAAAAAAUUAUCAGUCAACAGACUCACAAACACAUCCAUAACUCAUAAAGCAAAAAUCAUAAAUGAAAUGAACUAAACUCUAAAAAAGCAAGAACCAAAAAAGGAAAAUAGAGGUAGUAGACUCAGUGACUCGCAACAAUGAAGGCUAGUGGUGAAGAUUGGAGGCAGAGAGGCUAGGCAUCGACUGUCAGCAACAAGCAACAUCGUCCAAGGCAAGGCCUGGGUGCGUUAUGUCAAGGGAUGGAUUGAGAUUUUGAGAAUAGAGAGAGUAAAUAGGUUUUGCACAAUUGCAUUGUCGGUUUCAUUUUUC